UUCGAACACUGUAAAGCAUUAUUGCUACCCUGCAUACCUGGAGAGUGUAUACCUUCUCGGAUUACUGUCUAAAGUGACUGUUGCAGCUGCUGUUGCAGAGUGAGUGGUUUUCUUAUAUUUAACAGAGCUGACUCUGUCUUCUUUUUAUAGUUGGAUACCUUGUUCAGUCAGCUGCUAAGUUUUUUCCCCCUGUAUUUUACUUAUGUGAACUUUAAGAAAUACGUAUAGUAAGGAAGGGGGAAAGGUGAAUAAAGAGAGAGAAAUAAGGGCUACUUUGGCCAAACUAUUUUUAAACACUUCUGUAGAAGUCUGGUAUGAACACAGUCUGUGUGUGCUGACUCCUCACUCUCUGCUUUCUGAGGUUCUUGAAGCCUUGCUUGUGAUUUCCUCUUUGAGGGAGUAGAAGUAGGAAGAAAUUAGGGAGACUUCAUUCAUUAAAUAGUUGUAACCAGUAUUUUUGUUUU
rnacentral:lncRNA from 1 species